rnacentral:rRNA from 1 species
AGAGUUUGAUCCUGGCUCAGAUUGAACGCUGGCGGCAUGCCUAACACAUGCAAGUCGCACGCGAAAGGGGGCAACCCCGAGUAGAGUGGCGGACGGGUGCGUAACGCGUAGGAAUAUACCUGGUAGUGGGGGACAACCCGGCGAAAGCCGGGCUAAUACCGCAUACGAUCUACGGAUGAAAGCAGGGGACCGCAAGGCCUUGCGCUAUCAGAUUAGCCUGCGUCGGAUUAGCUAGUUGGUGAGGUAAAGGCUCACCAAGGCAAUGAUCCGUAGCUGGUUUGAGAGAACGACCAGCCACACUGGGACUGAGACACGGCCCAGACUCCUACGGGAGGCAGCAGUGGGGAAUAUUGGACAAUGGGGGCAACCCUGAUCCAGCAAUGCCGCGUGUGUGAAGAAGGCCUUCGGGUUGUAAAGCACUUUCGAUGGGGAAAAACAAGCCAGACCUAACACGUCUGGCCCUGAUGGUACCCAGAGAAGAAGCACCGGCUAACUCUGUGCCAGCAGCCGCGGUAAUACAGAGGGUGCAAGCGUUAAUCGGAAUUACUGGGCGUAAAGGGUGCGUAGGUGGUUUGUUAAGUCAGGCGUGAAAUCCCUGGGCUCAACCUGGGAACUGCGUUUGAUACUGGCAGACUCGAGUCUGGUAGAGGGUAGUGGAAUUCCGCAUGUAGCGGUGAAAUGCGUAGAUAUGCGGAGGAACAUCAGUGGCGAAGGCGGCUACCUGGACCAAGACUGACACUGAGGCACGAAAGCGUGGGGAUCAAACAGGAUUAGAUACCCUGGUAGUCCACGCCCUAAACGAUGGGUACUAGACGUUGGGAGGUUUAUCCUCUUGGUGUCGCAGCUAACGCAAUAAGUACCCCGCCUGGGGAGUACGGUCGCAAGAUUAAAACUCAAAGGAAUUGACGG